ACAGGCUGCUCUUCUCCCACAAGAUUUCUCUUCCUCCUCCUCUGAAUUAUUGCUGUUCCUCCAUCUUCUAGCCCCAGAGAGAGUGCAGACGCUCUGAUUUUCAGCCAUGAAGAUUUCAUUCUGUUCAUUUCUUGUUCUCUUCCUUAUGUUGCCAGAUUUUCUUUCAGCCCGUCUUAGGAAGGGAAGAUGUCCAGAUGGUGUUUGCAGAAAUAAAUGGUGUUACCGGGAGGAAAGAAACUGGGGAAGCUGUCCUUAUGACCGUAACAAGAUGUUCUGUUGCUUUUGGCUGACCCCUACGAAUUUCCUUAAAGGUUUUCACGAUCAAAAAAUUGUCAAGGCCAUCCACGAACCUUCAUGAGCCCUGUCACUUCCUGUGCUGACAUCAGAUGCUCAUUCAUUUGAGUUCAACCAUGUGUGUGUUUUUUCAAUAAAGAAAAAUGCUUCCUUUUCUAACUGUUUAUAUUUUCUUCCAUCAAUAAAAGCAAAGUUCUCAUAA